rnacentral:tRNA from 1 species
GCUUCUAUGGCGCAAUGGUAACGCGCGUCACUAGUAAUGACGAGAUUCUCGGUUCGAUUCCGAGUGGAAGCA